rnacentral:lncRNA from 1 species
GUUUGCCAUUGCUUAGUGAUGGUGCAGCUAAAGAUAAUGAGCUUUAGUAUGCUAAUGAAUCAUAUUUUGCUGGUCAUACUUUUUAUUUUUAAAAACUGCUUCAUGAGUCACUAUAGGCUUUGCAGCUCAGGAUGAUUCCCCUCAAUCUUGUGGCCAAGCCUGGCAUGACUACAGUAACAGCCUGAAAGCCCAUCGAUCACCCAAGCAAUCCCCAUAGUCCUUAGGAGACUAUGAAAGUUGUUAGAGGAGAAGGAGGAAGAGGAGGAGGAAGAAGAAGAAAAGGAAGAGGAGAAGGAACAGGAAGAGGAGGAGAAGGAGGAAAGGGUGAGGGAGAAGGAAGAGGAGGAGGAGGAGGAAGAGAACAGUGACUGGAAAGAUGGGUGGGACCACUUUGAAGAACUAUAAACUCUAAACAAAAGAGUCUAUAUUUAAUCCUAGAUUAAAUUUCACUUAACUCUAUUUGCCUCCGUUUUCUCAUUAUAAAAGGAGCUGGAGAAGGAAACACCAAACCACUCUAGUAUCUUUGCCAAGAAAACCCCAAAUAGGGUCAGGAAAAGUCAGAAACUGCUGAAGUAAUUGAAUAACAAUAAAGUUUACAGGAGAGGGAAAAGACA